UGCUGCCCUUGUGUUUUAAUCAAGAUGAACUUGAAAGGUGAACAUUAAAUCCUGAUUUUAAUUGAAAAUGGUUUUCAGGAGGCUCUGAAUCAUCAUGUUCUCCUAACCAGGGUGCUGGGGCACAGAAAUAGUGACAGUCAGGAGAAGAGCUGGAGUCUGUCCCACCAUCAGCUCAAAAAGGAGUUCACCACUCCCUAGAGGAGACUGCAGUAGAAAUUAAGUCAGCGAUGCUUUGUCUUCUGCUGUCACAGGAAUUCUG
rnacentral:lncRNA from 12 species